rnacentral:rRNA from 1 species
GAUGAACGCUGGCGGCGUGCCUAAUACAUGCAAGUCGAGCGAACAGACGAGGAGCUUGCUCCUCUGACGUUAGCGGCGGACGGGAGAGUAACACGUGGAUAACCUACCUAUAAGACUGGGAUAACUUCGGGAAACCGGAGCUAAUACCGGAUAAUAUAUUGCACCGCAUGGUUCAAUAGUGAAAGACGGCUUUGCUGUCACUUAUAGAUGGACCCGCGCCGCAUUAGCUAGUUGGUAAGGUAACGGCUUACCAAGGCAACGAUGCGUAGCCGACCUGAGAGGGUGAUCGGCCACACUGGAACUGAGACACGGUCCAGACUCCUACGGGAGGCAGCAGUAGGGAAUCUUCCGCAAUGGGCGAAAGCCUGACGGAGCAACGCCGCGUGAGUGAUGAAGGUCUUCGGAUCGUAAAACUCUGUUAUUAGGGAAAAACAAAUGUGUAAGUAACUAUGCACGUCUUGACGGUACCUAAUCAGAAAGCCACGGCUAACUACGUG